rnacentral:rRNA from 1 species
CCUACGGGAGGCAGCAGUGGGGAAUAUUGGGCAAUGGGCGCAAGCCUGACCCAGCAACGCCGCGUGAAGGAAGAAGGCUUUCGGGUUGUAAACUUCUUUUAAGAGGGAAGAGCAGAAGACGGUACCUCUUGAAUAAGCCACGGCUAACUACGUGCCAGCAGCCGCGGUAAUACGUAGGUGGCAAGCGUUGUCCGGAUUUACUGAGUGUAAAGGGCGUGUAGCCGGGCUGACAAGUCAGAUGUGAAAUUCCGGGGCUCAACCCCGGACCUGCAUUUGAAACUGUAGUUCUUGAGUGAUGGAGAGGCAGGCGGAAUUCCGUGUGUAGCGGUGAAAUGCGUAGAUAUACGGAGGAACACCAGUGGCGAAGGCGGCCUGCUGGACAUUAACUGACGCUGAGGCGCGAAAGCGUGGGGAGCAAACAGGAUUAGAUACCCCUGUAGUC